rnacentral:lncRNA from 1 species
ACCAUGUUGUUGCUGGGAUUUGAACUCAGAACCUCUGGAAGAGCAAUCAGUGCUCUUACCCGCUGAGCCAUCUUACCAGCCCCAUCUGAUUUCAAAAACAACUCCAAUGCCGGCCGUCCAAGGAGACCCCACACUGGUUUUGCAGCUUUACGAUGUCUGUAAGAGAGAUUCUUUGGCCCGCUGAGACUGCAUAACCAUCUGCCAUAAAUUGAGACUAGUACGGCUUAUUUUGGUGAAUGCAAAAUUGGAUCCCAUUCUUUACUCUGUGGCUUGAUUCAACUUCCAGAUGGUUAAUCCACAUGAAGUAAUAGGAAUGCACCACAGCUCUGCUUAGCUGAAGAUGGAGACGUAAUAUUUAUUUGCUGAUGUGGAGGCCUCCAAACGCUGCCCUGUCGGGAUGUCAAUAUAUAACACGGCAGCACAGAAAUGUCAGCUUGUUCUGCAGGAACGACAGGCUCCCCUGAGUUGCCAUGGGGGGACCCCUGGGUGCCUACUCCCCCCUUCUGUCCUUGACCUAAUCUCAAGAGGUUUUUAUUCUCUCCUGGGCUGUUUCUUAUCAGCUAGGUCUGCCUGUGUAGCUGGCUUCACAUCUGCUUUGACUUUAGUGCCUGUGACAUUUUCAUUAAUACUUCUCCAAGGUUGAGCCUUUAUUCCAAAUACCCUGCAGCUCCCAGAAGCUAAAGCUCAGCUGUGCCCAGCUGGGGGCUGCUGGGAAACUUGGCCCCUGAAAUACCAACAAGUCUGCUGUCCCCACUCAGAUGAGCUGAUCAACACUUUUUAAUUGUUACUGAUCAUGCUCACCUGCUAUGCUGAAGGAUGCAGAGGCAGAUCUUGGGGUAGGGGGGAAUUGCUUUCACUCUGGGGAAUAUCGACUGCCUCUGUGUGUAUGCUCCGUCCUGUCCUAGACUCCUCCUGGGUCUCAGCAUGUGGUGCAGGGAAGCCUGAAGCCCUGCAUCUCACCACCUGGGAGUACUGACUCUUCAGGGCUCCCUGUACCAGAUGGGUCCAGCAACCCAGUUUACCCAGGGCUGCUCUGGCUGAGCCCCUAUCUCCUCUGUACCAUUCAGAGCUGGGCAAACUGAGACAGUUGCCUACCCUAUGGCCCUGUCUACUCUAGAUCUGCAGAGAGAACCUCUGGAGCUCACUCUGAAAGUCCUACAUUGUGGUGUGUUCUGUGGUGACUCUGACAGGGCCCAUGAAUUUGGCAACCACAGUAGUGAGUCUCAAGUGACUCCAUGGCCUGACAUCUCGUGUGCCUUUGGGUUUAGAGGGAAGACUUGAUGAGAAAUUAGAUCAAAGAGAGUCUACACAUGGGAAUUAGACUUAAAAGGAGCUAGUAAGAACCAAGUGUAUUGGCGCACACCUUUAAUCCCUGAACCCAGGGUAGAAGCAGGCAGAUCUCCGAGGCCGGCUUUAGUUAUGUAGUGAGUUCCAGGCCAGCCAGAUCAACAUAGGGAGGCCCUUUCUCAAAUAACCAAAAGAAGUGGAGUGUGUGUGUGUGUGUGUGUGU